GCCUGGUUAGCUCAACGGUAGAGCAGCUGUUUUGUAAACAGCAGGUUGGGGGUUCAAAUCCCUUACCAGGCU
rnacentral:tRNA from 1 species